rnacentral:rRNA from 1 species
UACGUAGGUGGCAAGCGUUGUCCGGAUUUACUGGGCGUAAAGGGCGUGCAGGCGGUCUGUUAAGUCUAGGGUGAAAGCUCCCGGCUCAACUGGGAGAGGUCCUUGGAUACUGGCGGACUUGAGGGAGGCAGAGGAGUAUGGAAUUCCCGGUGUAGCAGUGAAAUGCGUAGAGAUCGGGAGGAACAUCUGUGGCGAAGGCGGCCAUCUGGACCAGCACUGACACUGAGGCACGAAAGCGUGGGGAGCAAACAGG